GGUUAAGCGACUAAGCGUACACGGUGGAUGCCCUGGCAGUCAGAGGCGAUGAAGGACGUGCUAAUCUGCGAUAAGCGCCGGUAAGGUGAUAUGAACCGUUAUAACCGGCGAUUUCCGAAUGGGGAAACCCAGUGUGAUUCGUCACACUAUCAUUAACUGAAUCCAUAGGUUAAUGAGGCGAACCGGGGGAACUGAAACAUCUAAGUACCCCGAGGAAAAGAAAUCAACCGAGAUUCCCCCAGUAGCGGCGAGCGAACGGGGAGGAGCCCAGAGCCUGAAUCAGCAUGUGUGUUAGUGGAAGCGUCUGGAAAGGCGCGCGAUACAGGGUGACAGCCCCGUACACAAAAGCGCAUGUGCUGUGAGCUCGAUGAGUAGGGCGGGACACGUGGUAUCCUGUCUGAAUAUGGGGGGACCAUCCUCCAAGGCUAAAUACUCCUGACUGACCGAUAGUGAACCAGUACCGUGAGGGAAAGGCGAAAAGAACCCCGGCGAGGGGAGUGAAAAAGAACCUGAAACCGUGUACGUACAAGCAGUGGGAGCACAGGUUUACCUGUGUGACUGCGUACCUUUUGUAUAAUGGGUCAGCGACUUAUAUUCUGUAGCAAGGUUAACCGUAUAGGGGAGCCGGAGGGAAACCGAGUCUUAACCGGGCGUUAAGUUGCAGGGUAUAGACCCGAAACCCGGUGAUCUAGCCAUGGGCAGGUUGAAGGUUGGGUAACACUAACUGGAGGACCGAACCGACUAAUGUUGAAAAAUUAGCGGAUGACCUGUGGCUGGGGGUGAAAGGCCAAUCAAACCGGGAGAUAGCUGGUUCUCCCCGAAAGCUAUUUAGGUAGCGCCUCGUGAAUUCAUCUCCGGGGGUAGAGCACUGUUUCGGCUAGGGGGCCAUCCCGGCUUACCAACCCGAUGCAAACUGCGAAUACCGGAGAAUGUUAUCACGGGAGACACACGGCGGGUGCUAACGUCCGUCGUGAAGAGGGAAACAACCCAGACCGCCAGCUAAGGUCCCAAAGUCAUGGUUAAGUGGGAAACGAUGUGGGAAGGCCCAGACAGCCAGGAUGUUGGCUUAGAAGCAGCCAUCAUUUAAAGAAAGCGUAAUAGCUCACUGGUCGAGUCGGCCUGCGCGGAAGAUGUAACGGGGCUAAACCAUGCACCGAAGCUGCGGCAGCGACACUCAGGUGUUGUUGGGUAGGGGAGCGUUCUGUAAGCCUGUGAAGGUGGCCUGUGAGGGUUGCUGGAGGUAUCAGAAGUGCGAAUGCUGACAUAAGUAACGAUAAAGCGGGUGAAAAGCCCGCUCGCCGGAAGACCAAGGGUUCCUGUCCAACGUUAAUCGGGGCAGGGUGAGUCGACCCCUAAGGCGAGGCCGAAAGGCGUAGUCGAUGGGAAACGGGUUAAUAUUCCCGUACUUGGUGUUACUGCGAAGGGGGGACGGAGAAGGCUAUGUUGGCCGGGCGACGGUUGUCCCGGUUUAAGCGUGUAGGUGUGUGUUCCAGGUAAAUCCGGUUCACUUUAACACUGAGGCGUGACGACGAGGCACUACGGUGCUGAAGCAACAAAUGCCCUGCUUCCAGGAAAAGCCUCUAAGCAUCAGGUAACAUCAAAUCGUACCCCAAACCGACACAGGUGGUCAGGUAGAGAAUACCAAGGCGCUUGAGAGAACUCGGGUGAAGGAACUAGGCAAAAUGGUGCCGUAACUUCGGGAGAAGGCACGCUGACACGUAGGUGAAGUGAUUUACUCAUGGAGCUGAAGUCAGUCGAAGAUACCAGCUGGCUGCAACUGUUUAUUAAAAACACAGCACUGUGCAAACACGAAAGUGGACGUAUACGGUGUGACGCCUGCCCGGUGCCGGAAGGUUAAUUGAUGGGGU
rnacentral:rRNA from 1 species